rnacentral:rRNA from 1 species
GACGAAGGAUCCAAGCGUUAUCCGGAUUUAUUGGGUUUAAAGGGUGCGUAGGCGGAUUGAUAAGUCAGUGGUGAAAGCCUGCAGCUUAACUGCAGAACUGCCAUUGAUACUGUCAAUCUUGAAUAUGGUUGAUGUGGGCGGAAUAUGACAUGUAGCGGUGAAAAUGCUUUAGAUUAUGUCAUAGAAACACCCGAUUUGCGAA